rnacentral:lncRNA from 1 species
CAGGAGUGAGCAAAGGGCCAGUUGCACCAAAUAGGGAUUUUAUUGUUGCCUGGAGAGCGUGGCUUACAUUUUGAUGAGAGAAGACAAGGAACGUUUUGGAGCAUGCUUCCCAGGCUCUGGAAGGACAGCACAGUAGAAGAGGGGCACCCCCAGCCCUGAACACAUCACAAGUGUGUAUCACAGAUGUCCAGGGCCUUGGCCUGGUUCCAUACAGGCACUGUCCAGGCAG